rnacentral:lncRNA from 1 species
GUUAUGAAGCCGUACAGGUACGAACUUUCUGUCGUACUGUCCUGCAGGGCUCACUUUUCCUCUCGCACCUUUUUGCCAAGCAAUGUGUGCGCACGGCAUUGUGUUUAUAACUCACACGUUUUCCUUUCCCCCGCGGUGAAAAUGGGUCGCAUCGAUUCGCCGUACAGCGUCUGGGCUUGCCAUUGCUGGCGGCGGUACGGGGCUUUGCUGACGCAGCACAAUCGCCAGAAUGGUUUACGACAGCCCCGGCGCUAGCAGUACCACGCGCACUCAAACACGCGGGGCUGACGUCAGCAUCUGACGUGGACUAUUGGGAAGUCAACGAGGCGUUCAGCGUCGUUGACCUGGUCAACAGGCAGUUGCUGGGGCUACCGGCUACACGGCCUUUUCAGGGUCAACGUCUUCGGCGGGAGUGUGGCUCUAGGGCAUCCUAUCGGUGCAAGCGGUGCGCGCAUCCUAGUGACUUUGCUCAACGUGCUGCGCUCCAGGGGGGGUAGGAGGGGCUGCGCCGCCAUUUGCAACGGCGGCGGCGGCGCAUCUAGCAUCGUCGUGGAGGCGAUGCCGCCGCCACUCGACAAGCAGAAGCAGCAGCAGCAGCAACUGCCGACGGCGGCGGCGGCGAUGACGCGGCAACAAUCGCAAUUGUAGCUGUAGCUCAGUAUCACCGUCGUUACAGCCAACAAUACGUCGUAAUACCCAACAUAUCGCGCCAACACAGGAGAGGCGACAGCAGAAACGCGCCCGUCGCUGUAGUGUACAUCUCAUCAUAACUACCAUCAAAAAUCACGAUGGCCUGCUGCCAACACCAAGUGGAAGUACGAGCAUCCAUACACAGUAACUUUAACGCAUAGUCCGUACACUGCGGUACGGCGACCAUCGCACGACAAUCACGCACACCAAAAUGAUUAGAAGAGCCCCCCCGGCGGUCAAAACCCGCAUGAAAAUGACCCGACUGAAUGCCGGCACGAAACGAGCACACAUAGCCAUAGGAUACAUUUCUUAUGUCUGUUAGCACGUCAUAUGGCGUGACAGCGGCUUGGCAACUUAAGCGUGUGUGUGUGUGUGUGUGCGCGUGUGGGUUACACCACCUCCUGGAGUUGACUCGUUUCCCCCUACUGCUCCAAGGUUAUCAUCACGGGGGCCCCAUACAUACAUACAUACAUACAUACAUACAUACAUGGAACCUAGAUGAGGGGAUGGAGCCCAUGCGCCGAAGGCUGUCCGAAAUAGCAACAGANNNNNNNNNNNNNNNNNNNNNNNNNNNNNNNNNNNNNNNNNNNNNNNNNNCAGGUGGGUUAGUUGGGUGAGGAAGGGGAGCAGGUUUGUUGUGGCAUAGUGACAGAGCGAGGGCCCAUGUGUGCGGUGGUAGCGGUGGUAGUAGGGGGGGGCCGCUGGUGAUGUAGCUCUUUUUGAUGAUAUUUUGUUAUUGUGUCGUGCUGAUGUUUCCUGUUGUUGAUGUUCACUGAUGUUCAGGCGACGGCUCCGUUGUGGACGGUCUUGUCAAGGACGGUCUGUGGGACCCGUACGGCAACAUCCACAUGGGCAGCUGUGCGGAGAUGUGCGCGGACAGGUUCGCAGUGGGCCGCCAGCAGCAGGUAGGUCGCGGCGGUUGGGGGCCCCGCUGCGGGUGGUUGGGGGUUGGUAGUUGGGGGGUUGGGGGUUGGAACUGACGGGGGGGAAACGCGGCACGGCGUUGUGUUCCGUACGGAAGGUAAACACACACAUACACACUAAAAAGAACCGCCGCAGCCCAUUAACCGUCGUUAACCGCCAAUAACCGCCGCAGGACGAGCAUGCGCUGCAAAGCCACCGGCGGGCAGUGGCGGCGGCGGCGGCGGGGCACACAGCUGCGGAGAUCGUACCCGUGCCGCGGCCUGGCGGAGGCGGCGGACGUGCGAAUGUGUCGCCAAGCGUGGCUGGCGCCGGGGCUGCAGCCGGCAGUAGCGGUAGCAGUAGCGGCGCGGAGGGACCAGCGUCACGCAGCGCGACGAUCGGUAUUCCUGGCGGCGUCGGCGCGAGCGGCAGCAGUGGUAGCGGCGGCGGUGGAACUCCGCCGUCGUUGUACGGCACGGUGGCCGCCGCCGCAGCUGCGGCGGCGGCUGCAGCAGCGGGUCCCGCCGCCGCCACAGCAGGGUCGUACAUCUGGGAGGAUGAAAGUCUUUCGAAGAUGGACCCUGUACGGCUGACGGCGCUCAAGCCGUACUUUCGUCGUGACGGCGGAACGGUCACAGCGGGCAACGCGUCGCCUAUGACCGACGGGGCGGCGGCAUUGGUGGUAGCGAGUUAUGAAGCCGUACAGGUACGAACUUUCUGUCGUACUGUCCUGCAGGGUUCACUUUUCCUCUCGCACCUUUUUGCCAAGCAAUGUGUGCGCACGGCAUUGUGUUUAUAACUCAUACGUUUCCCUUUCCCCCGCGGUGGAAAUGGGUCGCAUCGAUGCAUCGAUUCGCCGUACAGCGUCUGGGCUUGCCAUUGCUGGCGGCGGUACGGGGCUUUGCUGACGCAGCGCAAUCGCCAGAAUGGUUUACGACAGCACCGGCGCUAGCAGUACCACGCGCACUCAAACACGCGGGGCUGACGUCAGCAUCUGACGUGGACUAUUGGGAAGUCAACGAGGCGUUCAGCGUCGUUGACCUGGUCAACAGGCAGUUGCUGGGGCUACCGGCCGAGCGGUG